CAGCUGUAAACGAUGCAGACUAGGUGUUUGGACGGCCACGUGCCGUUCUAGUGCCGCAGGGAAGCUGUUAAGUCUGCCGCCUGGGGAGUACGAUCGCAAGAUUGAAACUUAAAGGAUUGGCGGGGGAGCACCACAAGGGUGAAGCUUGCGGUUUAAUUGGAUUCAACGCCGGAAAUCUUACCGGGACCGACAGCAACAUGAAGGCCAGGCUGAAGACUUUGCCGGAUUAGCUGAGAGGAGGUGCAUGGCGUAGUCGUGU
rnacentral:rRNA from 1 species